ACAUAUGAGUGUGAUCUGGUUGCGACAUCUGCCACCCCAUUGAUUGCCAAGGUUGAUCUGCUGCUCUGGCUGGCUAGGCGUGGUCCUCGUCCUCCCUCACUGCUCCAUGUGUGUCCCUCCUAAAGUGAGGUGCUUAGCUGAAGAGGACAACCACCUCUGGUAGAGGAAGACCAUUUCCUUGGUCAAGGGUAUCCCAGAACCUGCAUUCCCCUAGUAGCUAGAACCUCCAAACAAGCUCUCAAAUAUCAAUGUCUCUAUGGAGGUAUAAGUAGAGCAUUGCAUUCAAUAUGUAAUAAAAACAUAGUAUGAGACAAUAUACU
rfam:Heterocephalus glaber contig22181, whole genome shotgun sequence.